GCGCUCGUAGCUCAGUGGAUUAGAGCAUCUGGCUUCGAACCAGAGGGUCGGGGGUUCGAUCCCCUCCGAGCGCACCA
rnacentral:tRNA from 1 species